rnacentral:rRNA from 1 species
UACGGGGGGAGCAAGCGUUGUUCGGAUUUACUGGGCGUAAAGCGCGCGUAGGCGGAACGAUCAGUCCGGUCUGAAAGCCCCCGGCUCAACCGGGGAGGGUGGCUGGAAACUGUCGUUCUUGAGGGCGAGAGAGGAGGGUGGAAUUCCUGGUGUAGCGGUGAAAUGCGUAGAGAUCAGGAGGAACACCCGUGGCGAAGGCGGCCCUCUGGCUCGACCCUGACGCUGAGGCGCGAAAGCGUGGGGAGCGAACGGG